rnacentral:rRNA from 1 species
AUGGCGGUGACGAUGGCGAGCGUAUCCACCGGCGUGAUGAACUCCCUCCUCGGGAAGCUCGCCACGCUGAUGGGGGAUGAGUACCGCAAGAUCAAAGGCGUUCGGAACAAGGUAGCGUCCCUUCUGGACGAGUUCAGUAGCAUGAGUGCUCUGCUUGUGAAGCUCGCAGGCAUGGAUGAGCUUGACGUUCAGGCCAGGGAGUGGAGGGACCAAGUCCGGGAGAUGUCAUACGACAUUGAAGACUGCGUCGACGAUUUCAUGCGUGACCUCGGACAAAAAGGCGCAACCACUGGCUUUCUGAAGAAGACUGCCGAGCGCCUGAAGAAGCUCAGGGUGCGCCAUCAGAUGGCCAACAUGAUCCGUAGGAUCGAGACUCGUGUAAGUGAAGUGCAUGACCGGCGCACGAGGUACAAAAUUGAUGAGUACGCCCCGUCAUCUGGCAUUGUCGCUGUCGACCCAAGAGUGAUUGCCAUCUAUGCUGAGGCGGCCGGUCUUGUGGGCAUUGAUGCUCCAAGAGACGAGCUCAUGAAGAUGUUGAUGGUUGAAGGGAAAGAGCUGAGGGUGGCUUCUAUUGUGGGAUUCCCUGGUCUUGGAAAAACCACACUUGCAAAUGAAGUGUACCGUAAGCUUCAAGGACAAUUUGAUUGUCAUGCAUUUGUUUCGGUGUCUCAAAAACCAGAUAUGCCGAAUCUUCUCAGUAAUUUGUUACUGAAACUUGCGGGGCAACACUCUUCUCAAAUGGGCAAGUUGGACGAUACGAUCACCGGUAUCAGGGAAUAUCUGUCGAAUAAGAGGUACUUAAUCAUAAUUGAUGAUUUAUGGGAUUCGCUUGCAUGGAAGGUUAUUAGAUGCGCUUUUCCAGAAAACAGUCGUAGCAGUAGAGUGCUAACAACUACAAGGAUUUACUCUGUUGCCGCUACUUGUUGCUCUAAUAGCAAAGAGUAUGUUUAUAAGAUGAAAUCAUUGGAUGACCAGGACUCAAGAAGACUAUUUUUUAGUAGAGUAUUUGGUUUUGGAGAACCUUGCCCUGUCAUAUAUGCGGAGCUUUCAACAGAUAUUUUGAAAAGAUGUGGUGGUUUGCCCCUUGCCAUUACCGGUAUAUCAAGCCUUCUUGCAGGUCAAUUGAAGCCAAUGUGGGAAUAUGUAAGGAAUUCCUUGGGAUCCAUGUUUGAAGGCAAUCCUACUCUAGAAGAAAUGAAACAAAUAUUGGACCUUAGCUACAGAAAUCUUCCUCACCAUCUAAAGACAUGCCUGCUUUAUCUUGGUAUGUAUCCAGAGGAUUACGAGAUAAUGAAGAAUGACUUGUCGAGGCAAUGGAUAGCUGAAGGUUUCGUGAGUUCAAUCAAUGGGCUAGAUGCAGAGGAUGUUGCAGGGAGCUACUUCAACGAGCUCAUCAACAGAAGCAUGAUCCAGCCUGUGGAGAAGGACUGUAAUGAUGAGGUGUUGUCGUGCAGAGUACAUGAUGUAAUGCUUGAUCUUAUCAGAUCCAAAAGCACAGAAGAGAAUUUUAUUACUGUAAUGGAUCACCAACAAAUUGUGACAGGGAUGAACAAGCAGAUCCGUCGAAUAUCACUCUGCAACGGCGGUGAAGAACGCGGUGUGAUGCCGGCGAUAACCAGCGAGUCACUAUCAAGAGCUCGCUCAGUCGCAGUUUUCAGAACCGUUUUCUGGCCUAGUUUACUGGGGUUCAAGUAUGUUCGAGUUCUACACCUUGAAUAUCCAAAAAGUGGAAGGCUGGAUCUUACUGGUAUGUGUGGGUUGUUUCUACUAAGAUAUGUAAAGAUAGCCUGUGAUUACAAUACAAGUUUGCAGCUACCUAGUCAAAUCGGGGAGCUAAGGCAAUUGGAGACUUUUGAUUUACAGUGGUCACCGCUGGUGAGCAUUCCACCAGAUAUCGUUGGUUUGCCCCGGUUGUCGCAUUUGGUUGUCCCAAAAUGUACUUUGUUGCCUGAUGGGAUUGGCAGCUUGAAGUCACUGCGCACUCUACAUGGGUAUGAUGUAUCAGAAAACUCGAUAAACAACAUCGAGUGCCUUGGUGAGCUGAACAACAUGAGAGAUCUUGAUCUCUAUUGGUCAAGGACGGAGACCUUGGGGGAAGCAGAGAAUCGCAUGGAUGCCUUGCGUUCUUCCCUCGAAAGGCUUUCACAUUCCAGCAACCUAAAGAAUCUUGUUCUGCAGAAUCUUUCUUCGACGCUGCUGGUUGGUUGGAGCACACUGUCCUCUCCACCUCGCCAUCUCCAGAAGCUUGAUCUGUUUGGUUGUGUGUUUUCAAGGGUCCCCAAGUGGAUGUGUCAACUGAGCGACCUCCACUGGUUGGUUCUUAGGGUUGAGAAGGUGGUCUCUUCCAAGGACGAUGGUGAUGUCGAUAUUCUUGCACGGUUGCCCUCUCUUAUCCACCUCGAGUUGCAGAUCGAAAAAUGCCCAGAAGAAAGGGUCAUCAUCACCGGCAGCGGCACGGCGUUCCAAACUCUCAAGCACCUGAAGUUCUCUUGCCCUAAGCUGCUGCUGGCCUUUGAAGCAGGAGCCGUGCCCAGGCUCCAGCGACUCGAGCUGCGGUUCAGUAUAAAGGGAUGGCAACAAGGCAGCAGUGCGUGCCUGCCCGCUGGCAUCGAGCACCUGCCACCUGGCUUCAGAGAAGUCAGUCCAAUGCAGUUUGACCACUUCAGAGAGAGGCUCAAUAGACGCGAUGCAGCUGCUGCGAAGUCUGCACUGAGGAACGCUUUUGCAUGUGUAGGAAUAACAAUGGUGAGAAUCAGUGGAGGGGACGCUGUUCUGAAAGCCACAACCGCUUGUUCCACUAAUAACACUGUACCAGAUGAGCUCGCUAUCCUCGGAGCAACAACAGAAAUCAGUGACUAUUCAAGCUGA